UACAGAGGUCCCGAGCGUUGUUCGGAUUCACUGGGCGUAAAGGGUGCGUAGGUGGUGAGGUAAGUCGGAUGUGAAAUCUCCGGGCUCAACCCGGAAAUGGCAUUGGAAAUUACCUUGCUGGAGGAUUUGAGGGGGGAUUGGAAUACUUGGUGUAGCAGUGAAAUGCGUAGAUAUCAAGUGGAACACCAGUGGCGAAGGCGAAUCCCUGGAAAAUACCUGACACUGAGGCACGAAAGCGUGGGGAGCAAACAGG
rnacentral:rRNA from 1 species